UACGGGGCAAAGGAGGGGACCUUCGGGCCUUUCGCGAUUGGAUGAACCCAGGUGGGAUUAGCUAGUUGGUGGGGUAAUGGCUCACCAAGGCGACGAUCCCUAGCUGGUCUGAGAGGAUGAUCAGCCACACUGGAACUGAGACACGGUCCAGACUCCUACGGGAGGCAGCAGUGGGGAAUAUUGCACAAUGGGGGAAACCCUGAUGCAGCCAUGCCGCGUGUGUGAAGAAGGCCUUCGGGUUGUAAAGCACUUUCAGCGAGGAGGAAAGGUUGGCGCCUAAUACGUGUCAACUGUGACGUU
rnacentral:rRNA from 1 species